rnacentral:lncRNA from 1 species
UAAGCCCCUGUCCCCUCUCCUGCAAACGAAGCGGACUCCUCACUUCAUCUUCUCCUAGCUCGCAGCCCCGCGCCCUGAGCAUCGCUAGCCCGCGCUCCCCCACCCGACAGCAGGAACAACGGAAGUAAGACUGACCCCAAAUACAGAGUUUGGGUUUUUCUACUAAGUCACAGAGAAGGCCUAACUAAGCUAGGCUGGCUGCUCUUACCUUCUGAUAAAACCACUCUGCCACUCCCCCGUCCCUUCCUAUCCUUCACUUCCACUGAGCUCAUAAUUAAUCCCUGAGGUACAUGGAAAAGAUUGGGGCCAGG